AGUGAACGCUGGCGGUAGGCCUAACACAUGCAAGUCGAACGGCAGCACAGUAAGAGCUUGCUCUUACGGGUGGCGAGUGGCGGACGGGUGAGGAAUACAUCGGAAUCUACUUUUUCGUGGGGGAUAACGUAGGGAAACUUACGCUAAUACCGCAUACGACCUACGGGUGAAAGCAGGGGAUCUUCGGACCUUGCGCGAUUGAAUGAGCCGAUGUCGGAUUAGCUAGUUGGCGGGGUAAAGGCCCACCAAGGCGACGAUCCGUAGCUGGUCUGAGAGGAGGAUCGGCGACACUGGAACUGAGACACGGUCCAGACUCCUACGGGAGGCAGCAGUGGGGAAUAUUGGACAGUGGGCGCAAGCCUGAUCCAGCCAUACCGCGUGGGUGAAGAAGGCCUUCGGGUUGUAAAGCCCUUUUGUUGGGAAAGAAAAGCAGCAGGUUAAUACCCCGCUGUUCUGACGGUACCCAAAGAAUAAGCACCGGCUAACUUCGUG
rnacentral:rRNA from 1 species